rnacentral:lncRNA from 1 species
AUGACCAUGGUCAGUGAAGUUGGUCAGAUUGAGAUUUGGUUUUGCAGCUCAGCUUUUCUAUUGCUGUUGAUCUGCUUGAGAAGUUCUGACUGCAUCAUCUGUCACAGAGAGAAGCAAAAUGACGAAGAGAGGAAAAGAUCAGUGAAUUUUAAGCUGGAGAAGAAAGACUGUUCAACCCAAGCAGAAGGAGAUAAAUGGGGAAUCAUUACCUUCACUGCCGUCAUCUUCACACCAGGCUGCCUCAAGUGCCACUUGCCUGGGCAAUGUCACAAGAGAUGUGGCAAUAUGAAACCAUGAGUCCUGUCCCCAUCCCCUGGAAGUGGAACCCCCGUGCAGCCUGUUGAGAGCAGAAUGAUCUCUGACUUCCUGAGAGGAGGCCAGCGCUGGGGUGGAAGGAUGCAGCUGCUCUGCCGGCACCGAGCACUUCAAUGGGAUGUGAGGAAUCCUCCUGCAUCUCUAAAGCCAAACCAGUCCCUCCUGCAUCCCUAAAACCAUGCAGGAGAGCGGAAAGGAAACGCAUUUAUCUGCCAUGAGCCACCAGCAGUUGUUCUGUGCCAUCCCACUGCUGUGGCUGCUUGUGGCUGGGCUGACCUCCAGCACGGCUUUGGAGGUCUGAGAUUUGCAAAGGCAAAUCAUGGGAUGUGAAAUAAAAUGCCAGGCGAUGGAUGAGAAACA